rnacentral:rRNA from 1 species
AACGAACGCUGGCGGCAGGCUUAACACAUGCAAGUCGAGCGCCCCGCAAGGGGAGCGGCAGACGGGUGAGUAACGCGUGGGAAUCUACCCAUCCCUACGGAAUAGCUCCGGGAAACUGGAAUUAAUACCGUAUACGCCCUACGGGGGAAAGAUUUAUCGGGGAUGGAUGAGCCCGCGUUGGAUUAGCUAGUUGGUGGGGUAAAGGCCUACUAAGGCGACGAUCCAUAGCUGGUCUGAGAGGAUGAUCAGCCACAUUGGGACUGAGACACGGCCCAAACUCCUACGGGAGGCAGCAGUGGGGAAUAUUGGACAAUGGGCGCAAGCCUGAUCCAGCCAUGCCGCGUGAGUGAUGAAGGCCUUAGGGUUGUAAAGCUCUUUCACCGGAGAAGAUAAUGACGGUAUCCGGAGAAGAAGCCCCGGCUAACUUCGUGCCAGCAGCCGCAGUAACAC